rnacentral:rRNA from 1 species
AGCUUAGAGAACUUGCUUUUUAAGCUUAGUGGCGAACGGGUGAGUAACGCGUGAGGAACCUGCCUUUCAGAGGGGGAUAACAUUCUGAAAAGAAUGCUAAUACCGCAUGACAUAUCGGAAUCACAUGGUUUUGAUAUCAAAGAUUUUAUCGCUUGAAGAUGGACUCGCGUCCGAUUAGUUAGUUGGUGAGGUAACGGCUCACCAAGACCGCGAUCGGUAGCCGGACUGAGAGGUUGACCGGCCACAUUGGGACUGAGAUACGGCCCAGACUCC